rnacentral:rRNA from 1 species
UACGAAGGGGGCUAGCGUUGCUCGGAAUCACUGGGCGUAAAGCGCACGUAGGCGGAUCUUUAAGUCAGGGGUGAAAUCCUGGAGCUCAACUCCAGAACUGCCUUUGAUACUGGGGAUCUCGAGUCCGGAAGAGGUGAGUGGAACUCCGAGUGUAGAGGUGAAAUUCGUAGAUAUUCGGAAGAACACCAGUGGCGAAGGCAGCCCCCUGGGCCAAUACUGACGCUCAUGCACGAAAGCGUGGGGAGCAAACAGG